ensembl:lncRNA
GCGCCUCGCACGUAAACACCAGGAGAAGACUCGUCGGGGGAAAAUGCGGCUGCUGUUCGACGCUCUGAGGAAGCAGGUCGGACUCAGCGGCUCGAGGACGUCGAAGAUCUCCACCCUGAACACGGCGGUGGAGGUUAUCCAAGAUCUGCAGAUGAUAGAGAUGGAAAUGGAGAAGAAGAAGGCGACGCUGAGGAAGAAGAGGGACCGAUAUCUGUGGAGACUCGUUCCAUCAUCAGCAGACCAAACUGAAGCUAACUCCAGGGAGGUCAUUGAUCUGAUCGACGACACCAUCGAAAUCUCAUCUGACGAGGAGAUUGAGGUGGACGAUGGCGAUCGGGGCGUUUCCAAGGCGACGGUGGAGGAAAACGUUCGGCUGAAGAGGAUGAGGAGAUCAGAUGUGGAUGAGACGCCAGGAACCACGAACUCUCCAAAGAAGCUGCAGCUCCAUCAGGCUCGUCAGGAGCUCCAGACUCUGCACAGCGCGAUAGAGGAGCUGAAGAGUCUGAAGACGAGUCUGAAGCAGCAGAGAGACACACAGAGUUCAGGUGAAAAACCAGGUAAGAGCGAGCAGAGAUCAGGAAGUCAGCAGCCAACAGGAGACACAAUUGAAGAUGGCAUCACGGCCACAUCACCUGACCCGCAGCCUCCACAAGCUCCUCCCACUUGUGGUUCUGCCCCACCCACUCCUACACCUGUCCAGCCUCUGGUCCAACAGGUAUUAAACACCGUCCUAGCUCAUUCUGCUGCGUCCCACAAUGCAUCUGUGCAGAGAGAUCGGCCGAGGACGAUUCCCAACAUCCUGUCUCGCAGGAAGACUCAUCCACAGCCACCUCAGAACACAACGACUGAAGAGGGUAAGACUUAACUACCCAACCACCUGACUAACUACCUGACCUACCUGUUGACUCACAUAGUUACCUGGUUAGUUACCAACUGAUAGACGUAGUCAACCAGUUACUAAGUGAGUAGGCUGACUUAUUAAAUAACUGAUCUAGAAAGUAGACAAAGUCAACCAGUGAGUAGCAGACCCAACUGAAACAUUUAAUUAGUCAGUUACUAAGUUAGCUGCUGACCAACCAAUAUACUGAUCUACUGUUAGACUUAACCAACCAGUUACUCAGUUAGCUGAUUGGCUGAUUGACUUAAUAACUAAAUAAUAGACUCAGACUAACAGUUACUCAGUUAGCAGACUAACUUACUAACUGUUCUACAAGUAGACAAAGUCAACCAGUUACCUAGUUAGCUAACUAACUAAAUAACCAACUAAACAAGUCGCAGACCCAAUUUAAACAUUUAGUCAGUCAGUCAGGUACUAAGUCAGCUAUUGACUAACUAAUUAACUGAUGUACUUUUAGACAUAACCAACCAGUUACUCGGUUAGCUGAUUGACUUUUUAAAUAACUAAAUAAUGGACUCAGACUAACAGUUACUCAGUUAUCUGACUGAAGGACAAACUAACUAGCUAUGUUAAUAAGUGACUUACUUAGAAACUUAGUCAAACAGUUACUCUCCUAACUGCCUCAUUAACUGACUAACUAUAUUAAUAAAUAAGUGACUUGCUUAGAGACUUAGUUAAUCAGUUACUGACUCAUUAACUAACUGACUGACUUUGUGACAAUGAAACACCUACUAGUAGACUUAGUCAAGUAGUUAUCUGAAAGACUCAGUGAUGUUUAGCUAACUGUUUGACUGACUGACUGAAUUAAUAACUAGCCAACUAACUAUUGAUCUGCCCCACUAAGUUAUUUUUUUACUGCUAAUUUAGUUACUUAGUGGUCCGUUAAUUAAACAGUUAAUUAAACUACUAUCAGUCCGGUUUUUCUGGACUGAUAGUUGUUGUG